rnacentral:rRNA from 1 species
UGUGCCGAGAGGUGAAAGGUUAACUGCCUGGAGAUGAGCUCGCGUCUGAUUAGCUAGUUGGUGGUGUAAGGGACUACCAAGGCGACGAUCAGUAGCUGGUCUGAGAGGAUGAUCAGCCACACUGGAACUGAGACACGGUCCAGACUCCUACGGGAGGCAGCAGUGGGGAAUUUUCCGCAAUGGGCGAAAGCCUGACGGAGCAAUACCGCGUGAGGGAGGAAGGCUCUUGGGUUGUAAACCUCUUUUCUCAGGGAAUAAGCAAGUGAAGGUACCUGAGGAAUCAGCAUCGGCUAACUCCGUGCCAGCAGCCGCGGUAAUACGGAGGAUGCAAGCGUUAUCCGGAAUGAUUGGGCGUAAAGCGUCCGUAGGUAGCAGUGUGUGUCUAUUGUUAAAGAGUUUGGCUUAACCAAAUAAAGGCGGUAGAAACUACACAGCUAGAGUGCGUUCGGGGCAGAGGGAAUUCCUGGUGUAGCGGUGAAAUGCGUAGAGAUCAGGAAGAACACCGGUGGCGAAAGCGCUCUGCUAGGCCGCAACUGACACUGAGGGACGAAAGCUAGGGGAGCGAAAGGGAUUAGAUACCCCUGUAGUCA